CAGGCACCUACCGGGUCUGCUGCAUUUGUACCCAAAAUAUCCAGAGCAAACGACCCGGCACCAAAAACACGAAAAAAAAUUGCAAUUGCCCUGCCAAGAUCACAUUCAACCUUAAGAUGAUGUGUUUGUGCAAUGAUCACCAAUCAGAUUGGUGUGACAAUGCUAAACAACAAGUUCUUGUUUAUGGUUGCCUUAAGCAUUCACAUGCCUUUGAACGAAAGAACAUACGCCUCUCAAAAGUGAUGAAAAAUGAAACUAUGGAGCUCCUCAAAUCCGGGAUUCGUUCAGAUGUUGUUAUUGACAAAUAUUUGUCAAGUAAUGAUAUGAACAAGGAUAGCAAACCUGUCACUUACGCCGAUGUUCAUCGCAUUAAAAAGUCCUGCAACUUGGAGAGUUACGACGAAAAUGCUUCUGAAGUCAAAAAUGU